ensembl:lncRNA
CUUCAAGGCAACUAACAAUUAAGAAACAAGCACAUUCUUGUUAUUGACAAUUAGGCAUUUUCUCAGCUCCUUUAUCGGGUUUACAAAGAGUAAUUCUGCAUGAGAGAUUGUAUGAUUCAACACUUGUUCAACAACAUAGUCUGAGAUCGUUUUUUAUGUAAGGGUGAUAAUUGAUAAGAAAAGAAAAUAAUCAUUUAAAUUCCAGGUGCCAGAAACCGAUGCAUUUUCCACAAAGAAUACCGAGAUUCCUUCUGCUUUGUCAGAUCUAGAGUUCACUGCAAUUCCCUCCAUGACAAGACACAGGCCAUUCUAGGACGCGUGUGACAGAUGCCAUUCACAAGCCCGCGCCCUCCAACAGACAGAUUCACACUGAGGCUCCGUUCUCCUUCCCAGCUGGAAUCAAUCCUCUUUCUCCACCAGCGGGGGAUGUCAAAAUGCAAAGGGAAGAGCAAUUUUCCAUAUUGUUUAUGGUUUUGCGUUUCGUUCUCCUGUAAGGAAGGGAGAGGAAGAACACAGAAAUGUUCUCCACUGGCCUCUGAACUUCUCCAACUUCACGCUGUUCAAGCAGUCCUAGCAAGGCUCAUCCUUGAUAAAAUUGUGAGGUCGGGGAUUUUGUCCACAGUGAGCCAGGCCUCCCAGCAAACCCUCACCUCAGUUUGGUGACAUUUACUCACAUCCUUCCAGGAAUGUAAUGUUCUCUUGCUUUUUUCCCUUUUACCCUCAUUUUACACACGCACACACCCUAUCCUCCAAAAUAACCUUGAAAAUGUAUUCUCGUAUUCAUUCACUCAUAUAUUCAACUAAUAUUUACUGAAGACCUACACUGGGUCAGGCACUGUUUUAGGUGUUGUAUACAUAGCAGUUCACAGAGAAAAAAGCCAGCCUUCAUGAAGUCCACACUCUAGCAAAUGGCAACAAAUAAGUAAGUAAAUGCACAGUCUUUGAGAUUGUGAUGUGUCAAGAAGAAAAAUGAAGCAGGAAAGGAGGAUGGGGAGCUCCGGGGGUGGGAGUAUUUAUAAUUUUUAAGUAGGUGGUCAGGGAAGACCUCACUGAUAAGGUAAUACCUGAGGGGGAAAAAAGUGAAGAGUGAGAGAGUAAAUCUUGCACGUGUCUGGAGGAGAACCUUCCAGGGAAAAGGAACAGAGAGUGCAAAGGCUCUGAGGUGGAGCAUUCUGGUGUACCUGUGGUAUCAGGCUAUCAGGUAAACAACUGAUAAGAGAUUAACAUGUCACCCUCCCAGUAACGGGCAAGUAACAUAAAGGGAGCCUUCAGCUCAAGGAUUCCAGACAUUAGUCAGUAAGAGGGAGAGGCACUGUGAUGGGACACCAAGGCCUUGCUGAGGUUUCCCAGACAACUGUUGCCUUGUACACACCUCAAUCCAGCAUUAUUAUAGUCUUAUCACAUUAAGAUAACUUAAAACUAGUAGGAUUUAUUUUGAAAAAAAGUCUCUUAAGAAGUGUUCAGAACUUUACUUAGACCCAAGAAUAGACUCUCGUUUUCUCUGCUGAGCCACAUCCUAUUUUGCAAUUGUAGUGUCUUCCCCUAAUUCUCCUCUGCCCCGUGGACAAUGCUGACAAUUUCCUUAAGCCAUUUUGGUUCAGGGACUUUGCAUCCGAGUAACCAGUCCUCAUAUAUUGACUCACAAGGAGAAGCCUGUGGCUACAGCUCAUUUUAGACUGUGACUCACUCCAUGGGCUUUCUCACUCUUUCGAGGUGUUGGCGUCUGUGACUGUACUCUCAGGGCUGACUGUUGCUGCCCCCAAAGUAGAAUGACCGUUCACUAAGGAUGUGCUGGCCUCUCUGUACUAGACCAUAUGCAGACACAUAGGCGUGCAGUCGGCUAGGCUUUCAUUAUUACUCUGCAAGUUCUAGCUCAGAAAAGCAACAAAGGUUUCCCCACUCUGGUAUUAGAGGGCGUCCCCCACUCCUAAACUGGCCACUGCUCCUCUCUUACUGCCUAAGGUGGAGGCGGCUCUUGGUCCAU